UUGAGUAUCAAUUGGUAAAUUUAUUUUUAAUAUUAAAUCUCUCCAUUCUCUAUUUGACAUUUUUAUCAUAAAACCUACUAAGUCAAAACUAAUGCACUUUUUUUUUUCUAAUGCACUUUUUUUUUCUAUUCUACAGUAUAAAAUAAAUUUAGAUAAUAAAGGUUUUAUUAUAUUAUAAUGAGGUUUUAUUAUAUUAUAAUGAGAAAUAACAAAGAUCUCAAAAGCUCUAAUAUAAUAUCCAUAAUAGAAUACCACUCACUAUUCUAACAUCAAGAUAUUAAUAAAGUGCCACUUAAAUACUUCUCCUUCCUCUCAAAUCAAAC
rnacentral:lncRNA from 1 species